CCCGCCCCUCUGCCGUACGCCAGGAACGCCCCCAAAAGGCCAACGUCUCUGCGCUUGCGCACAGUGCGAACGGUUGUACUACGCGCAUGCGCAGUUUAUGCCCCAUGAUCACCUGAACGCAAGACCUCAACGCAUAAAGUAUAGUUUUAAAAAUAUAUUCAUCAAUUUAAAAAAAUCACCCUGCUGCAAAAACUCGGCCUGGGCAAACUGGUACUAAACUAGUUUAGAUGGUGGUCAAGUCCUUACGAAAAUUAGCCAUGGGUUUUUUUAUGGUAAAAGUGUAGUAACCAUGUUUUUUUGGUGUAUUGAUUACUAUUAGCAAAACCAUGGGUUUACUAGACUAACCAUGUAUCAGUUCUACAUUUCUCAUGUGUUAUUUUUUGCACGUGUCAUAUCUCUGAUCACCACAGGAGGUCCUCAGCUGCAUUAACAAACCAGCACGAGUCAAAGAUGAAGGACAGUGCAGGUGCAAGAUUAGGAAGUCUAUAUGGGCCCCAGACGGGUAUUCAUUAUUCAGCAGAAGUUUCAUGAGUUUGUCCCCGGACUCCUCGCAGGAGAGCAGCUGUCCUUCAGAGAACAUCGAGGAGAACGACAGACGGAUCUUCAGGUCUCCAGAGAAACAGCGAGCUUGAAGCUGCAUGUCUGUGUCCAGAGGACCUGUGGAACAUACGGACAGAAACGUAAUAACUAACCAGGGAUUAACGAAGAGGUUACCCACUCUACCACAUCUUAACUAGAGUUCCUCCUCCGCCAACACCCGAAACAUCAUGUCACGGGCCGCUUUACCGGUACAGUACAGAACCCAUGACGGAAGAGCCUUCAGCGCGCACAAAGAGCUGAUGUUGACCACCGUCCGCUGGAGACCGACACGAUGAGGAAAUGCUUGUAAGACACCGGCUGUCAAGCUGAGCACACAGCUUACGUUGAGAGACAGAUAACGGUUGACCUCAGCCGGGUCCGUGAACGACGACGCUAGCCGAGACACAUCGCCCAGUGAUGCUGAAACCAAGACAGAGACGUAUCGUCAGAUAUUUACUUACAUCACAAGAUAAAGAUUAUUGUUUAUUAUUGACCUUCUCCAUGACCCUUCACACCUGCGUUGUUGAUGAGAAGCACGUGGUCCAUCUCAGAUGAAGAUGUUUCUUUAGCUGCCUGAAUGGUCUUCUGGACCCCGUCCGUCUUCUCUAAAUCUGCCUGCACACAACGGACAAACAGCUUUUUGUGUCCCUUGUUCAAAGCCAUGAUGUCCUCUUUCACUUUGUUCAGCUGAUCGGCCGUUCUGGCCACCAGAAUAAGAACGGACCUGGACUUCAACAGGCAGCUCAGCUGUAAGGCCAGCGUCCGGCCGUAACCUUUGGAAGCUCCUGUGAUGAUGCACAGAGCUCUUCCCAAAUUCCUGCGUUCCUGAGAGAUGGUUUCCAUUAUAGGAACCUGGAGAAACCCCUUGGAGAAGCUGCUUGUGAACGUUCAGUCAGAUGAGGUCUCUCUGCAGUCGGAGGCUUUUAUAUUCAGCGUCUCUGAGACCAAAGUGAAACGGAUUGUUUUUUUACACUCAAAUGCUGAUUCAUAAUGAUGCAUAAGCGUAGCGUAAUGUACAAGAAAACAGAUAUUUAUGUGUGGUGAUGAAGGGAAAUCAACACUAUAGUCACUAUUGUAUGUGUGUGGUAAUCUAACACAGUUAAGCGUUUCACGUGUUGUCUUGUAGGCAUGUGCAUAGAUCAUGCGGGAGACUCGUGGGACCAAGGACAUGUAUAUGUAAUAUAUAGUCAACUGUGACAUAUUAGACAGAAAACAAAUUCUUUAUAUAGUGGUCUACCAGUAAACAUUUUCAAAAUUUAGGACCAAAAAUGAUUUAGACACUUGACCUGACCAUGUUUUGCUUAAAGGUUUCUUUGAUUCAAAAUAUAACAAGCAUGUAAAUAAAGUGUUUUUUAUGUUUUCCAUGUUUGUCUGUAGAAACUUAAUCAAAUUUAAAAUAAUACUGCAUGCACAGUAUUAUACUGUAUAGUUUAAAUUAAGUAUAGAUUAAACCUUUUUGCGGUUAUGAAAGUUAAUCAGUUAAGACAAAUUAAUGAUUUUUUUCUUUGGCCAUUGUUUGAUUAACAUUAGAAACAGACAGCACAGCAUACUUUAUUUUGCUUUACUAUAUACAUAUACAUGUCCUUGUCCCCAUUACUUUUAAGAUGCCGGCUAAGCCCCUGUUUGUAGGGUUAAUUUGUCUAAAUUGGGUUUGCCUAAUGCUGUCCCAAACUGAACUAAAAAAAGCCUGAUUUUAAUUUAGCAGAUGCUCAAAAGUAACUCACAAAUGAAAAACUACACACGUGAUGAUUUUUUACAGCAUCAAUGAAGAGAGCAUAUCACAUUUUAUUC